CCUGUGCCCGCUCCCUGCGUCCUCUCCCUGUGCCCGCUCCCUGUGUCCUCUCCCUCUUCCCGCACCCUGUGCCCGCUCCCUGUGCCCUCUCCCUCUGCCUGCUCCCUGUGCCCUCUUCCUGUGCCCGCUCCCUGUGCCCUCUCCCUCUGCUCGCACCCUCUGCCCGCUCCCUGUGCCCGCUCCCUGUGCCCUCUCCCUCUGCCUGCUCCCUGUGCCCGCUCCCUCUGCCCGCUCCCUCUGCCUGCUCCCUGUGCCCUCUUCCUGUGCCCGCUCCCUGUGCCCUCUCCCUCUGCUCGCUCCCUCUGCCCGCUCCCUGUGCCCUCUUCCUGUGCCCGCAUCCUCUGCCCGCUCCCUGUGUCCUCUCCCUGUGCCCGCUCCCUGUGUCCUCUCCCUCUUCCCGCUCCCUCUGCCUGCUCCCUGUGCCCUCUCCCUCUGCCUGCUCCCUGUGCCCGCUCCCUCUGCCCGGUCCCUCUGCCUGCUCCCUGUGCCCGCUCCCUGUGCCCUCUCCCUCUGCUCGCUCCCUCUGCCUGCUCCCUGUGCCCUCUUCCUGUGCCCGCAUCCUCUGCCCGCUCCCUGUGCCCGCUGGAUUUUGGCUGCUGCUCGGCAGGUGGGGAGCGCUGGUUCCUGCCGCUGCUGUGCGGGGGUGGCCCCUGGGGCUCAGCCACUGGACUGCGUCCUAAUCGAGACCAAUCUGGGACGUUGAAAGUCGUGAUUGAGGUUUUUUUGGUAAACUUGGACCCCGGAAAGGAUGGGAGCAGAGACAGUGACCUUUGCCAAGGGCUCUGGUGAACAAUGGACUGUCGGAUCAAUACGUGUACGAGUGUAACAUGUCAAGAUGCCCUGCACUCUCCUCAGCUGGGCAGGGUGGCUUUGCUGCUGCUAAGGACAUUAACUGCAGCCUUCCAAAAGGCUUUUUGUGAGGUGUGCAGCCCUAGAGAAAGGCUGGACUUGGUAGGAGAGAUGGGUUCCAUAGAUCAUGGAGCAUAUUUCAUCAGGAGAAUAAUUCAUCUUUCUUAUUUUCCUGAGGAAUCCUUUGCCCACACUGCACACGUUUGUAAUGAAUAGAAGCCUUUCAAAUGAUUCAGUGACAUGCUGUAAAAUAUCAUACUUGGUUAAGCAUUUUCUCUAUAUUUUUUCUGACCUAGACUCAUAUUCAUGUCAACUCUCCAUGAUGCAGUGCAGUAAUAUUAAAAUUUUUGGUAGCCAA